AUGACUUAUUCCGAACUGACCCAUGCGUUCUCUUUAGACCCGGGGACGGACCUGGAAGAUGUGCUUCGUGAGUUUGACGACGUGGUGGAGGAACUCAAAGCGCCUUGCAGAAGCAGCUCUGGUGCGACCCAACAUCUCCUUGAAGAGGGGAUACGCGGCGCGUCGAGCGACUAUUACAGCAUUAGUGGCGAUAGUGGCGUCGAGGACUCGGAUUACUGCAGCGAAGCUUCUCUGGGUAACAGUUUGAACACCAGCCAAGAGGAGCUCCGCCCAGCGGGCAUCUCGCUGACAGCUAAAGCGCGGCUGGGAGACACGGUGGAUCUUCAGAGCUUCAUCGACAGCUUGGACCGGGAGCUCUCUGAGAUGUGAACGGAGAGGGGAACACAGCAGAGAGAGAGCGGGAGAGAGAGAGAGAGUGAGAGACUCCGCAGACCCCAGCAGGGUCAGAUCCAGGGAAGAGGACGGGAUCCAGGGGAGAGGGGGGAAGGAGUGAGGAGAGGGUCCAUCUGCCACAGAGCAUGAGAGGGCUGCAUCUAGAGAGUUGGGGGGCCUUGUUUGUGCCACGUUUUCAAAUUCCCUCGAAUGCCACGCCAGUAAUCCGCUUGCAAUCCUUCUGGCAAUUUCUUUUUUUUUUAUAAAAUGAUGAAUUCCUUUCUGUCUUGAUGCAUUUCCACCAGCUGGGCUUUAAGACCGUCUUGCAUUUUUAAGAAGGAGCCGAUGUUUAUGUUCGGAUGGCAAUGAAUUUAGUCUGAAUUUUUUGUUCAUAUUGUUUCAUAUUGUAUAGUUUGUGCAAUUGUCAAACUUUGACGCUCUCGUCACCAUCAUAUUCGACAGAAAAGUGGACAAAUUAAAACAACUUUUAAUGAUAUUGCUAUUGUAUUAUUUCCUCCUGUGUCAUAUUACAUGUAGUUUUUAAUACUUCUUACAGCGACAGCAGUGACAGUAAUAUAUUAAAAGAUAAUCCCAAAAUAAUAAGCAUAUUUAACGUCACAUCCAUCUGUACACAGUGAAGAAAAGAAAAAAGGUUAAUACUUUAAACUUGCUUGUGCUACCUGAUCACAGCUCGCAUUAAUUGAACCCCGGCCAAAGAAUACAUGAAGAAUGCGUCAUUAGUGCACACAGUCACACAAUGGUUUACAAACUCGUUUCUUUUCUUCCUUUGCAUGUAAUCUCUUUGCCAUGAAGAACCUGGACAUUUCUGUACCAUUAAUGCUGGUUUCAAUUGAACAAAAAUAAACGUCCCCGGAAUUCAACCUUGUUGGAGCAUUUUGCAUAAAUGAGGAUGGAAGCGACGCCAUGUCAUUUGAUAUUCAUCCGUCUUUGUAUUCAUUGGGUUCACCUGCUUCUUCCACAGCCACCGUCGCUGCUGCGUCUAUCGCUGCUGUCAUUUUAUUAUACGGGUGCAACAGAUGCUGGCAGUUUAUACCAGUCUGUAUACGUCUAUCUCAGCAGCAGCCAGGGUAGUCAAAGCUCAAAGCAACACGUUGUUGGGUGGAGAGAUGACACAGGCAAUGCUGGCUGCUCUCGUGCCACAUUUGGCAGCUCUGUUUUCUCACUGAGCUUUCCAUUUCUAACUGGGAGCAUCAUCUGGCCACCACCACCACCACCACCACCUCCAUUCUGCUGAACAAUUGAACGCGCACCCGACAAGCUGAGGUCGAGGGGGAGUUGGAUGGUGGCGCUUGUCAUUCUUGCCAUAACAAAAGGAUUAUUCAGUUUUCCCUAUGACUUUCCAUUUGCCCAUUGUCUUGAUGGCUUAUUCCAACGAAGCUUGAUUUAUAAAGCUUUUAAUUUUUUUUGCGCUGUUCGAACCCCAAAAAAUAAAAACAAGAAAAAGCGUCUGUUUUUUAAAGCAGUUUGUUUAUCCCCAUACUUGCUUGGUAUUGCGUAUCAUAUUACAUCGCCCAUAGCGCGCACGUCAACAAAGGGAGGAGGACAGGCUGUACGUUCAGCAUACUGUUGACUGCCUCUUUAUGUCUCAUUAUUGGACACUCUGCCCAGGGAGUCCACUUCUUCCUCUGCACUCUGACCCAGUCACUUAACCCCAAACUGCGGGCCAACAGGGGGCUUGGCAGAGGGAUGGUGGGGGGGGGGGGGGGCGAUGGGAGAGCACAAGGUUA
rnacentral:lncRNA from 1 species